GCCAGGCAUGGUGGCACAUGCCUGUAAUCCCAGCUACUUGGGAGGCUGAGGCAGGAGAAUCGCUUGAACCCAGGAAGGAGGUGGAGGUUGCAGUGAGCAGAGAUCGCACCACUGCACUCCAACCUGGGUGACAGAGCGAGACUCCGUCUCAA
rnacentral:SRP_RNA from 1 species